rnacentral:rRNA from 1 species
UAGGGAAUCUUCGGCAAUGGACGAAAGUCUGACCGAGCAACGCCGCGUGAGUGAAGAAGGUUUUCGGAUCGUAAAACUCUGUUGUUAGAGAAGAACAAGGACGUUAGUAACUGAACGUCCCCUGACGGUAUCUAACCAGAAAGCCACGGCUAACUACGUGCCAGCAGCCGCGGUAAUACGUAGGUGGCAAGCGUUGUCCGGAUUUAUUGGGCGUAAAGCGAGCGCAGGCGGUUUCUUAAGUCUGAUGUGAAAGCCCCCGGCUCAACCGGGGAGGGUCAUUGGAAACGGGGAGACUUGAGUGCAGAAGAGGAGAGUGGAAUUACAUGUGUAGCGGUGAAAUGCGUAGAUAUAAGGAGGAAAACCAGUGGCGAAGGCGGCUCUAUGGUCUGUAACUGACGCUGAGGCUCGAAAGCGUGGGGAGCAAACAGG